rnacentral:rRNA from 1 species
UACGUAGGGGGCAAGCGUUGUCCGGAAUCAUUGGGCGUAAAGCGCGUGUAGGCGGCCCGGUAAGUCCGCUGUGAAAGUCCAGGGCUCAACCCUGGAAUGCCGGUGGAUACUGUCGGGCUCGAGUCCGGAAGAGGCGAGUGGAAUUCCUGGUGUAGCGGUGAAAUGCGCAGAUAUCAGGAAGAACACCCGUGGCGAAGGCGGCUCUCUGGGACGGUACUGACGCUGAGACGCGAAAGCGUGGGGAGCGAACAGG